rnacentral:rRNA from 1 species
ACGCUGGCGGCGUGCCUAAUACAUGCAAGUAGAACGCUGAAGGAGGAGCUUGCUUCUCUGGAUGAGUUGCGAACGGGUGAGUAACGCGUAGGUAACCUGCCUGGUAGCGGGGGAUAACUAUUGGAAACGAUAGCUAAUACCGCAUAACAGUAGAUGUUGCAUGACAUUUGCUUAAAAGGUGCAAUUGCAUCACUACCAGAUGGACCUGCGUUGUAUUAGCUAGUUGGUGGGGUAACGGCUCACCAAGGCGACGAUACAUAGCCGACCUGAGAGGGUGAUCGGCCACACUGGGACUGAGACACGGCCCAGACUCCUACGGGAGGCAGCAGUAGGGAAUCUUCGGCAAUGGACGGAAGUCUGACCGAGCAACGCCGCGUGAGUGAAGAAGGUUUUCGGAUCGUAAAGCUCUGUUGUAAGAGAAGAACAGGUGUGAGAGUGGAAAGUUCACACUGUGACGGUAUCUUACCAGAAAGGGACGGCUAACUACGUGCCAGCAGCCGCGGUAAUACGUAGGUCCCGAGCGUUGUCCGGAUUUAUUGGGCGUAAAGCGAGCGCAGGCGGUUAGAUAAGUCUGAAGUUAAAGGCUGUGGCUUAACCAUAGUACGCUUUGGAAACUGUUUAACUUGAGUGCAAGAGGGGAGAGUGGAAUUCCAUGUGUAGCGGUGAAAUGCGUAGAUAUAUGGAGGAACACCGGUGGCGAUAGCGGCUCUCUGGCUUGUAACUGACGCUGAGGCUCGAAAGCGUGGGGAGCAAACAGGAUUAGAUACCCCUGGUAGUCCACGCCGUAAACGAUGAGUGCUAGGUGUUAGACCCUUUCCGGGGUUUAGUGCCGCAGCUAACGCAUUAAGCACUCCGCCUGGGGAGUACGACCGCAAGGUUGAAACUCAAAGGAAUUGAC